CAUAUGCUGUUUCUCAUCUGUUUCUUGAUUUGCCAGUCGUAUUACACUAAAAUUAAAUAGACUGCGAAAGGCAGACAGAUAUUUUUUGAUUAAGAUCUUAUCUCUGUAAAUUCCUGUAAACUUAUAAUUGUUUCAAGAAAGCUGAAAUUUGAACUACUUAAAAAUUUUUUUUCAGAAAAACGACUUUUCCUCCUGGCGAGAGACUUCAAAAGGGCAGCCGUUUGAGGCAUCUUCCACCCCAGUGGCCAUCACAGCCUGUGUGUGUAGAUUCUAGUGAGGGCGCAGAGUUGCUGUUUUCUCAUGAGGCUGGCGGGUGGCAGAAAACCACACACCGGCAUCCAAGGGACUGGGUUUGGAAGCCUGCUGUGGUUGCUGCCACUUGUGAUCCUGAUGGGGAAAAUUUAAAUCUAAAUAACCUCUUUGGAGACGAGGCAGGAUGACUCUUACGAGGCAAAUGAGAUGACAGAGCCAAAAGAAGGAUCCGGGGUCUCCCAGGAAGGCAGAACUGAAAGGUGCCAGGUGCACGGACCUCAGUACCCAGAAAGCAACGCGUUCAGCAGAGGCUCGCGAUCGGCUUCUUUCCACUCAGAGGAACUGAACGAGACCUGUGACUCCACCUUGAGACUGAAGCCGGGUUCCCGCCUAGCUUCUGGAUCCAACCACUCAUUUCCUCUUGCUUGACCUAAGCGUCAAAGAGGAGAAGCGUAAUGCUGAUAAGGUUUCCUCGUUCAUCUUUUAAGUGUCCGUAUGCGCCUUUGGAGAUGUGAAGCCCUCCUUGUAUGCUCACUUUCCUUCCAUUGACUGAACAGAAUCUGCACCACUCUGUAGCUCACCGAACUCCCUGGAAUCUCUUGUCAAGUGAUGGAGAGGAGCCCAUUACCUGCGGGGUUCUGGACAGCGGUUUGCACUUUGUGGGCCUGGGUGGAUGUCUAGUUUAUGACUUAAUGCCUGGCUGAGAGUUGAAUGCAAGAUCCCAAGGCUACCACAUAGCCUGUGGCUUGGAUCUAGGUGUCAAGGGACCUGUGAUUGGCUUAACCAAACUUAGCUUUUCAUCCUGUAGUAGAUUUCUGAAGCCUCCAAGGAGCUGUCACUCACUGUCUUUCCCAAGUAGGCAAGGAUGAGAGAGCUGUAGGCAGGCAGGAAGAGGAAAUGUGCAGCCUGUGAGUGGGUGUGCUCAAACAAGACAUCUAGGGUUACAUCCUCUCAUUAUGAUGAAUCAUGUAAAAUGACCAUUUUAAUGAUUAAGGAUUGUGUGGAGGGUCAUCUCAAAUGCAUCAGUCCAGCACGUUCACAGAAUAAGAGAUCUUUGCCCCAGAGCCCUCUCUCCAGCCAGGGCACCAGAGAUUUCCUCUGUCCCCACACCCUUCCUCUCUCCACCAGAUCUCCUUUCUCCAGUUCUUCCAUCCCAACUAACCACAAUGUUUAUCCCGUUCCCAGGAGACAGUAGUAUUUGAUGUGGUUUAUAAAUGUGGCCCUGUAGACUCAGUGGAAACAGCUCAGACAGGAAGCUAACAGCAUGAACACUUCAAGUUUCCAGUGAUGUCAGGAGGAGGAGGAAGAGACUGUGAUCUAUGCACGUCCCACAUAGGCUAAAGACCUUGGGAAUUCCUUCUCAGGGUCUGUCACUGAACCUGAAGUUCACAGAGGAGGCUAGGCUGGCCAACAGUUGAACCCUGGGGCACCUCCUGUUCUCACCUUCUCCAGCUCUGGGAUUACAGGGAUGGCAUUGUUCAUCAGGGAAUUCAGCUGCUGCCUUUAAGAAACAGGAUGGCUGCAGAGAUCCUUCACCAGUCAAAGCCCUUGUCACGCAAGUUUGAGAGCCAAAAUUUGGAUCCCCAGAAACCCCAGUACAUGCUGUAUGGACACGAAGGUUCAUUUGCAAUCCCAGCCUUGGGAGGUGGAGACAAGAAAUGGUCAGAGCAGUCUAGCUGUAUCAUGAGCUCUGGGUUUGAUUGAGAGGCCUUGCCUCAACAAAUAAGCUCCCAAAAAGCUGCACUUCCAGACCCGAGGGUCCCCUCCCCCAGCUGUCUUCGAUUGAUCAUAAAGAAUUGCCAGACAGCCAAUGGCUGUGGGGACUUAAACAGAACAUGAAGACGUCACUGGAGCCCGCUUCUCUUUUGUCAUGACCGGUGGUGAUGCUCUUGUCUUAAACUGGCUGUCAAGUGGCUUUAAUUGCUGUUGAUAAGAACUGUGGUCUAAUUUGUUCGCUAAUUCACUAGCUUAUCUUAAAACCUACUUAGUGUUGACUCUGUGCCAAGCUUUGGGGGUGGGGGUUGGAGUCGGGGCAGGAGUUAAGGGAAGGGGAGAAGGGGAAAGAGAACAUUAUGAGAGACACAGUGAGCCACGGUCUUCAGGUGACCAUGACUGAAGCACGCUGAUGGAACAUACUUAGGAUCAGUUAGAAAAUGGAACCAAAGGGCCAAUGCCCCUAACCAGGGCCUUCUUAUCUUGUUCCUGUGGUAGAAAGAACUUUAGCCUCUUUUAGUGUCUUGGAAGCCUCUAAUCUAGUUUGGUUUUCGAUGCUGGGGGUGGGAGCUAGGCUUUGCGCAUGCUAUUUAAGUGCUUUUAACACAGUGACGUCCCAGACCAGCUGUCCGUCCUGACCCAGCUCUCUGUUAGAAGAAUAUUCAUCUGCCUGGUGUCCACUGGCCCACUUAUCUUGUGAUGACCAGGAUGUGAGAAAUAGUGUCUAUGGCAUGAGAAAAUAAUCACAGAACCAGGAAUAACAUCUAGGAGAUAGAAAAUGAAUACACACUCUGACAAG
rnacentral:sRNA from 1 species